rnacentral:tRNA from 1 species
CACUGUGGUGCAGUGGGUAGCGCUGUCGCCUCACAGCAAGAAGUGUCCCGGGUUCGAAUCCCAGCCUGGGGG